GACGAACGCUGGCGGCGUGCUUAACACAUGCAAGUCGAACGGAAAGGCCCUGCUUUUGUGGGGUGCUCGAGUGGCGAACGGGUGAGUAACACGUGAGUAACCUGCCCUGGACUUUGGGAUAACUUCAGGAAACUGGGGCUAAUACCGGAUAGGAGCUCCUGCUGCAUGGUGGGGGUUGGAAAGUUUCGGCGGUUGGGGAUGGACUCGCGGCUUAUCAGCUUGUUGGUGGGGUAGUGGCUUACCAAGGCUUUGACGGGUAGCCGGCCUGAGAGGGUGACCGGCCACAUUGGGACUGAGGUACGGCCCAGCCUCCUACGGGAGGCAGCAGUGGGGAAUAUUGCACAAUGGGCGGCAGCCUGAUGCAGCAACGCCGCGUGCGGGAUGACGGCCUUCGGGUUGUAAACCGCUUUCGCCUGUGACGAAGCGUGAGUGACGGUAAUGGGUAAAGAAGCACCGGCUAACUACGUG
rnacentral:rRNA from 1 species